AAGAAAGUAACCUUCCCACUCUGAAGGCAUUCCAAAUGUUUUCCAGCCUCUGGAUCAACAAAUAUCGCAGAACAAUAGAACUUGAACAAAAAGAAAACUCAACAGGUUUUUAAACAUACACUUAAAGUGAUUUCCUAAGAAGAGUAAACAUAGAGAACUUGUGAUCCAG
rnacentral:lncRNA from 1 species